UGUGAAGAUGCAGUGUACCCGCGGCUAGACGGAAAGACCCCGUGAACCUUUACUACAGCUUGGCACUGAACAUUGACCCUACAUGUGUAGGAUAGGUGGGAGGCUUUGAAGCGCAGUCGCUAGAUUGCGUGGAGCCGUCCUUGAAAUACCACCCUUGUAGUGUUGAUGUUCUAACGUCGACCCCUUAUCGGGGUUGCGGACAGUGCCUGGUGGGUAGUUUGACUGGGGCGGUCUCCUCC
rnacentral:rRNA from 1 species